UCGUGGGCGGCGCCGCGGCCUUUCCGCCUCGUCCCGCCGCCCCGGCUCCGCUCCGGCUCCCCAGUGAGCGCGCCGACCCGGUGGAAGGCAGGUGUAUGAAGCUGGUUGUUACGACCUGAAUGGCACCCAGGAGCACAAAGGUCGCCAUGAGGAUCUGAAAGGUUGAUCUCGGGAACUUCUAGAAGUGUGAGGAGCGCUGCAGUGUCGCUGUUGGACAGAUCGUGAGCGCGCAUUUAAGACAGGCUGAGAAGAAACCUGUGCUGCUGCCAGCCUUGUGUUUUUUACAAGACAGCCAGAAAGUAGCUUCUGACCAAAAACAUUAAGGGGAAGGUUUCCUAUCACCCCUUCCCCUAGCAACUAAAAGUUUAUGUGAAAUCAGCUAAAAUAGCAACCAGAUUUAUACCAUUGCUAUAGCCUUUCCCUUAUCAAGAAAGAGCAAAUAGUGUGUUCAGGCGUUCAUAAACUUUAUUGAAAGUACUGUAGUAGGAGCUGGGAACACAGUGAAGAACAAAGCACAGUUGAUUGGAGGGAAUCUCUUCCUUGUGAGUCCCCCGAGGCAGAAACCGACCUAGUUAGAGAAACCUGAGAGCAGAGUUGAGUGGAAGGGUAGGUGCCACUGCGAGGCGUGGGGGGAAAUGGCCAUGUACAGGGAUAGGUCGGAAGUCCACUUGUCUGGCAGCCUUGCUGCUUUCGCUCUUCAUCUCUGGUUUAGAGUGCUCAGUGAGGCUGUAAGGUGACUUGUAAGAGGUGGUCCUGUUAGGAGAUGAGACCAGGCCACUUAAGGCUUGGGCUUUUUCACAGCAAGAAAAUCCAGUAGAAAAGUAAAGAGAAGGUGGGCCAGUAGGAUGAGCUGAAAAGUGUGCUUAGGAUGAUAGAAGCAAAAUAAGAUUAAGGCUAAAAGGAGGCUUCAGUACAUUAAGAGCAGCCAUAAGGACACUGGAACAAGUGGACACUGAAGUAUAGGUGAGACAGAAACGACAGGGGGGAGUUGAUGGCACCUGUGACUGUUACAGAGUAGUCCCUGUAUAUUGGAAAGUCGUCUGUACAGUGAAAAGACACUGGGUAGAUAUGACCAGGCACAGUUGGAGGGAUGAGAGAUCCACAGAUACAUGCCCCCCCCAAGAAACACAUGACAAGGACACUUCUAAACAACACUUGACCGCGUUUUAUAUUGUCUGUAAAUAGCCAGUGGAACUUAAUGCCACAAAACAAUAUUCCAAAGGGUUGAAAGGCAGCCUGCAUGUGAUGCCCGUCCCGGCACGCCUCGGCACCAGCUGUGGAAAGAAGGAUGCUCUCCUCCACUGCACACUCGUGCGUGGCUUGCUACGGCCCCAGAAGUCCAGUGUGCUUGCCAGAAGCCGCUGGUCUUGAUUGAGGCGAACACUGAAUUUGGUGGUUUGGGUUUCAGAAGAAAGUGGCAUCGAGUGAUUAUUAUCCUUCCAGUUCAAAAGCCCUUCAGCACAAGUAUGCUGUAGUCAGGCCUUUAAGAGAAGCAAAAAAAAAAAAAAAAAAAGGCAUCUUUUCAUGUGC